rnacentral:rRNA from 1 species
UACGGGGGGGGCAAGCGUUGUUCGGAAUUACUGGGCGUAAGGGGCUCGUAGGUGGCCAACUAAGUCAGACGUGAAAUCCCUCGGCUUAACCGGGGAACUGCGUCUGAUACUGGAUGGCUUGAGUUCGGGAGAGGGAUGCGGAAUUCCAGGUGUAGCGGUGAAAUGCGUAGAUAUCUGGAGGAACACCGGUGGCGAAGGCGGCAUUCUGGACCGACAUUGACGCUGAGGAGCGAAAGCCAGGGGAGCAAACGGG